rnacentral:rRNA from 1 species
GACGAACGCUGGCGGCGUGCUUAACACAUGCAAGUCGAACGGAAAGGCCCUGCUUUUGUGGGGUGCUCGAGUGGCGAACGGGUGAGUAACACGUGAGUAACCUGCCCUUGACUUUGGGAUAACUUCAGGAAACUGGGGCUAAUACCGGAUAGGAGCUCCUGCUGCAUGGUGGGGGUUGGAAAGUUUCGGCGGUUGGGGAUGGACUCGCGGCUUAUCAGCUUGUUGGUGGGGUAGUGGCUUACCAAGGCUUUGACGGGUAGCCGGCCUGAGAGGGUGACCGGCCACAGUGGGACUGAGAUACGGCCCGGACUCCUACGGGAGGCAGCAGUGGGGAAUAUUGCACAAUGGGCGGAAGCCUGAUGCAGCAACGCCGCGUGCGGGAUGAAGGCCUUCGGGUUGUAAACCGCUUUCGCCUGUGACGAAGCGUGAGUGACGGUAAUGGGUAAAGAAGCACCGGCUAACUACGUG